rnacentral:rRNA from 1 species
UAGGGAAUCUUCCGCAAUGGACGCAAGUCUGACGGAGCAACGCCGCGUGAGUGAAGAAGGUUUUCGGAUCGUAAAGCUCUGUUGUUAAGGAAGAACGAGUGUGAGAAUGGAAAGUUCAUGCUGUGACGGUACUUAACCAGAAAGGGACGGCUAACUACGUGCCAGCAGCCGCGGUAAUACGUAGGUCCCGAGCGUUGUCCGGAUUUAUUUGGCGUAAAGCGAGCGCAGGCGGUUAGAAAAGUCUGAAGUGAAAGGCAGUGGCUCAACCAUUGUAGGCUUUGGAAACUGUUUAACUUGAGUGCAGAAGGGGAGAGUGGAAUUCCAUGUGUAGCGGUGAAAUGCGUAGAUAUAUGGAGGAACACCGGUGGCGAAAGCGGCUCUCUGGUCUGUAACUGACGCUGAGGCUCGAAAGCGUGGGGAGCGAACAGG